rnacentral:rRNA from 1 species
AAUCCCGUGAACCAUUGAGUUUUUGAACGCAAGUUGCGCCCGAAGCCUUCGGGCCGAGGGCACGCCUGCCUGGGCGUCACGCAUCGCGUCGCCCCCUCCUCCCCGUCCUCUUUGGCGGGGGGGGCGGAGACUGGCCUCCCGUGCGCUUCCGUCGCGCGGCCGGCCC